UAAGGUAGCGAAAUUCCUUGUCGGGUAAGUUCCGACCUGCACGAAUGGCAUAAUGAUGGGGGCGCUGUCUCCAGCAGAGACUCAGUGAAAUCGAAAUCGCAGUGAAGAUGCUGUGUACCCGCGGCUAGACGGAAAGACCCCGUGAACCUUUACUGCAGCUUGACAUUGAACUUUGAUCUUACUUGUGUAGGAUAGGUGGGAGGCUUUGAAGUGUGGACGCCAGUCUGCAUGGAGCCGACCUUGAAAUACCACCCUUUAAUGUUUGAUGUUCUAACGU
rnacentral:rRNA from 1 species